UGAACGCUGGCGGUAGGCCUAACACAUGCACGUCGAACGGCAGCACAGUAAGAGCUUGCUCUUACGGGUGGCGAGUGGCGGACGGGUGAGGAAUACAUCGGAAUCUACUUUUUCGUGGGGGAUAACGUAGGGAAACUUACGCUAAUACCGCAUACGACCUACGGGUGAAAGCAGGGGAUCUUCGGACCUUGCGCGAUUGAAUGAGCCGAUGUCGGAUUAGCUAGUUGGCGGGGUACAGGCCCACCAAGGCGACGAUCCGUAGCUGGUCUGAGAGGAUGAUCAGCCACACUGGAACUGAGACACGGUCCAGACUCCUACGGGAGGCAGCAGUGGGGAAUAUUGGACAAUGGGCGCAAGCCUGAUCCAGCCAUACCGCGUGGGUGAAGAAGGCCUUCGGGUUGUAAAGCCCUUUUGCUGGGAAAGAAAAGCAGCAGGUUAAUACCCCGCUGUUCUGACGGUACCCAAAGAAUAAGCACCGGCUAACUUCGUG
rnacentral:rRNA from 1 species